ensembl:lncRNA
AUGGUGUGCUAUGCAUCCUUUAUAUCAGUAAUAUUUAUUUAUUUAUUUAUUUAUUUGAGACAGAGUCUUGCUGUGUCACUCAGGCUGGAGUGCAGUGGCAUGAUCACGGCUCACUGCAUGACCUCCCAGACUCAAGCAUCCUACCACCUCAGCCUCCCGAGUAGCUGGGACCACAGGCACACGCCAUCAUGCCCAGCUAAUCCCUCCCCUCCCCUCUCCUCCCUUACCCUCCCCUCCCGUCCCCUCUCCUCUCUUACCCUCCCCUCGCUCCUCUCCUCCCCUGCUUUCCCCUCUCCUCCCCUGCUUUCCCCUCCCCUCCCCUGCCAUCCCCUUGCCUCCCCUCUCCUCUCCUCUCUCUUUUCGAGACUGGGUCUCACUUUGUUGCCCAGGUUGGUUUCAAACUCUUGGGCUCAAGCAGUCUGCUCACCUUGGCCUCCCAAAGUGCUGAGUAGGUUUUGUUUAUUUUUUAAAUUAACAUUUUAAUGUUGAGAUAAUUGUUUAUUUACAUGUUGUUGUUGUUGUAAGAAAUAAUACAGAAGGAUCUGUGUCCCCUACCCAGAGUCCCACCCAUGGUGGUGUCUUGUGAGACUAGAGUACAGUGUUACAACCAAGACAUGGAUAUGGUUCCAGUGAACCAGUCUUACUCACCUUUCCCUUUUGCUUGUACCCAUUUGUGUGUAUUUCCUUUCUGUGACCUGCGUAGCUUCCUGUAUCCACCACCGCGGUCACGAUGCUGAAUGCCGCGACACCAUAAGGACCCCCUGGGUCACUCUUUUGCAACCGGACCGGCCUCCUUCCUCCUCCUAAUCUGCCUCCAUGUCUCCAAGUCUGUUAUUUCGAGAAUCUUAUAUGAAUGGAAUCAUACACCUUGUAACCUUUUGGGAGUGGCUUUUUCCCUCAAAAUCAUUCCCGGAGAUUCCUACAAGGUCUUGUGUGGCCCAGUCCGGGAUUCUUUUUCCUCAUCCAUGAUGUGGAGGUACCAUAGCCUGUUUAGCAUUCGCCCAUCGAAGGUCAUCUAGGAGGUGUUUCUGGCUUUUGGCUAUUAUGCAUAAGCUGCUAUGAACACUUGUAUACAGGUUCUUUUAUUUUUUAUUUUUAUUUUUAUUUAUUUUAUUUUAUUUGAGACAGAGUCUCGCUCUGUCGCCCAGGCUGGAGUGCAGUGGCGCGAUCUCAGCUCACUGCAAGCUCCGCCUGCCGGGUUCAUGCUAUUCUCCUGCCUCAGCCUCCCGAGUAGCUGGGACUACAGGCACCCGCCACCACAGCCAGCUAUUUUUUUGUUGUUGUUGUAUUUUUAGUAGGGUUUCACUGUGUUAGCUAGAAUGGCCUCUAUCUCCUGACCUUGUGAUCCACCUGCCUUGGCCUCCCAAAGUGCUGGGUGUAUUACAGGCAUGAGCCACUGCACCCAGCCUAUUUUUAUUUUUUAGAGACAGGGUCUUGCUGUGUCUCCCUGGCUGGAGUGCAGUGGCGCAAUCAUAGCUCACUGUAGCCUCAAACUCCCAGGCUCGAGUGAUCCUCUCCACUCAGCCUCCUGAGUAGCUGGGACUACAAGUGUGCACCACCAUGCCCUGCUAAUUUUUAAAGAUUUUGUAGAGACAGGGUCUUGCUAUGUUGCCUGGGCUGAUCACAAACUCCUGGCUAAGUAAUCCUCCCUCCUUGGCCUCCCAGGGUGUUGGGACUAUAGGCGUAAUCCUCCAUGCCCAGCCUUGUGUAUAGAUUUUGAUGUGAACGAAACCUUCCAUUUCCCUGGGAUAAAUGGUCAAGAGCAUAGUUGCUGGAUCUUAUGACAAUUGUGUGUUUAGUUUUAUAAGAAACUGCCAAAUUGUUUUCCUGAGGAGCUGUACCAUGUAGCAGUUUCUUUUUCUUGUUCUUUUUUUUUUUUUUGAGACAAAGUCUCGCUCUGGAGUCUCACCAGGAUGGUCUCUAUCUCCUGACCUCAUGAUCUGCCCACCUCGGUCUUUUUAUUGUUCUUUUCUUUCUUUUUUUUUUUUUUUUGAGACAGAAUUUUGCUCUGUCGCCCAGGCUGGAGUGUAAUGGUGCAAUCUCGGCUCACUGCAACUUGUGCCUCCUCAGUUCAAGCGAUUCUCCUGCCUCAGCCUCCUGAGUAGCUGGGAUUACAGGCACCUGCCAUCAUGCCCAGCUAAUUUUUGUAGAGAUAGGGUUUCACCAUGUUGGCCAGGCUGGUUUUGAACUCCUGACCUCAGGUGAUCCACCCGCCUUGGCCUCCCAAAGUGUUGGGAUUACAGGCGUAAGCCACCAUGCCCGGCUCCCAGUAGCAUUUUCUGAGUGAUCCUAUUUCUCUGCAUCCCCCCCAGCACUUGGCGUUGCCACUAUUUUUAAUUUCUGAUAGGUGUUCGUGGUAUCUCACUGUGGUUCUAAUUUGCAUUCCCCCCAUGGCUCGUGGUGUUGGACAGCUUUUCUUGUGCUCACUGCCAUCUGUAUAUUCUCUUUGGUGAAAUGUCACCAUUGAAUUUGAAGCGAGUUUCUUGUAAACAGUGUAUGGUUGGGUUAUUUUUCAAAAAACUGGACUGCCAAUCUCCUGCUUUUUACUUGGUGUAUUUCAUUUACCUUUAAGGUAAAUUAUCAAUAUGUUAGGACUUAGGUCUGCCAUUGAAGGAUUUGUUUUCUCUGUGUAUGUUUUCUUGCUUUUCUGUGGAUUCCUUGCGCAUUAGGAUUGUGGUUCCAUCUUGGUUGAUUCAUAGUGAUCUAGAGGGCAUUUAUUUGUAUCACUUCCCUAGUGGUCGCUCUGGAUAUUACAAUGUACACAGGUAACAUUGUACCACCUGCAGGGCAUGUGGAAGCCUUACUUCCAUGUAGGUUCUUUAACCUGUCCCCCUUUUGUUUUCGUUUUAUGUUAUUUUUGAGACAGGGUCUCACUUUGUUGCCCAGGCUGGAGUGCAGUGGCACAAUCACGGCUCAUUGCAGCCUCAAUCUCCUGGGCGCAAGUGAUCCUCCUGCCUCAGCUGCCUGAGGAACCAGGACUACAGGCACAUACCACCACGCCUGGUCAAUUUAUUUAUUUAUUUAUUUAUUUAUUUAUUUAUUUUAGAGAUGGGGUUUCACUAUGUUGCCUAGGCUGGUCUUGAACACCUGGGUUCAAAGGAUCCUCAUGCUUCAACCUCCCAAAGUGCUGGGAUUACACACGUGAGCCACUGCACCUUUUUAAAUAUGAUUGUCGUGAGUAUCGGAUGGUGUUAGAAAUUUUGCUUCAAUCAUUAAAUUUGAUUUAUAAAGCUCAUGAGAAGGAUCAUCUACUGCAGAUUCCCAUACACUUGUUCUUUCCAUUAUUUUUUUCCUUCCUAAUGCUCCAAGAUUCCAUUUUGUUUUAUUUUAUUUAUUACUAUUAUUAUUUGAAAUGGAGUCUCUCUCCGUCACCCAGGCUGGAGUACAGUGGCGUGAUCUCGUCUCACUGCAGCCUCCACCUCCUGGGUUCCAGCACUUCUCCUGCCUCAGCCUCCCAAGUAGCUGGGAUUACAGGCAUGUGCCACCAUGCCCGGCUAAUUUUUGUAUUUUUGGUAGAGACAGGGUUUCACCAUGUUGGCCAGGCUGGUCUUGAACUCCUGACCUCAGCUGAUCCAGCCACCUCAGCACCCCAAAGUGCUAGGAUUACAGGCGUGAGCCACCACACCCAGCCCAUUUUAUUUUAAAAAUCAUUUUCUUUCUGUUUGAAAAACUUCCUUUAGCUGUUCUUUAAGGGCAGGUCUGCUAGCAACAAAUUUGUUCAGAAAAAAAAUAGAUUUUCUAUUUUUUCAUUUGUUUCAAGAGAACUUGUAAUUGCCACUGAAAUAUUUUUAAGCCACUUUAAAAUCUGAGAAUGUCUUUAUUUCCGC